UAUCCUUUAGUAGCAGCAAUGUGCUGUAGAAAGUGAAAUGAUUUUAGGCAUGCUAUACAAGAAUUAAUUUUAUAUCUUGUAGGGGGGAAAUUCUAAAGCAGCUAAACCCAUAAUCUGGAGAAACUGCAAUGACAUUGAGCUUUAGAUUAAUUACUUAGUGUUCUAACAAUUUAUUGCCAUGAUGUUAUUUUAUCCACACAUCAAUAUUCUUUGCAUCACAACACAUAAGAGCUCUCAGCUCCACCUGAAAAUAAAGAUCAGAUCUAACAAAAUUCGUCUCUGGCAAACUUCAAAGGUUAAACUUGCAAAUUUACAAUUACAAAUGAUCGUUGAGCUCUAUAUCAUAUCAUUAUAAUUCAAGAAAGUCAAAAGAAAGGAUUCUGUUGGAUUUUUUCUGGCUCCACAGACGGUCACAAAUUGGCUUACAAAGAAGUAGAAAUAAUAAGGGGAAAAAAAGUAUGGAGACAAUUAGAAAAGCAGGCACACAAAAGAGAUGCUAAUAUGGAAAGCAUGUCAAGAAAACAAACAAAGAAUUUCCUUUUUUGCUACUGAAUAAAUAUAUCCUUGACAAUUGUACAAUUGAUGUCAUUAACUUUGAAAUGUGGCAAUAACAGUUGACUUGGCAUUAUUAAAUGAAAUUUUGAUAUUAAAAAUGACAUUUAUAUUGUUUUAUUUUGAAUUUGAAUUUCGCAUAAAGAAACAAAGGGGGAAAAAAAGUAUCCAAGUUCAGAAUUUUGAAUGGGUUG
rnacentral:misc_RNA from 1 species